rnacentral:rRNA from 1 species
UACAGAGGUCUCAAGCGUUGUUCGGAUUCAUUGGGCGUAAAGGGUGUGUAGGUGGCGCGCUAAGUCGGGUGUGAAAUUUCGGAGCUUAACUCCGAAACUGCAUUCGAUACUGCCGUGCUUGAGGACUGGAGAGGAGACUGGAAUUUACGGUGUAGCGGUGAAAUGCGUAGAUAUUGGGAGGAACACCAGUGGCGAAGGCGGCUCACUGGACCGGUACUGACGCUGAGGCGCGAAAGCGUGGGGAGCAAACAGG